rnacentral:rRNA from 1 species
AUGUUUUCAUUUGUUUGGAGACAAAGUGAGCGCACAUGUUGGCUAGAAAUUAUACAUUCAGUUUAUAUUAAUAUAUACUCCUUGCAUAAAUCACUUGUGCAAAUUUUGCUCCAGAAAAUGCUUGGAAACGAAACCUGUUCCAGAGAUGCUCAGUCUUCUACUUACACUGGAACAUGUCGACGGCCCAGGCACACCCCGAGCUGCCGAAACAGCAUAGUUGUGUUUUUCUGUUCCAAACUGGAAGCAGCACAUCCUGGAAACGUUCAGCUAUUCUGUACUUACAUGGGGUCCUUUUCGCAAAACUUCAUAGGUGGGGAGUUUGGGCUCCAUCGUGUCCCUGUAUUCUGUAUCUAG